GAUUUCUGGUUGGGCGCGCCCAGUCCAGCGGGUUAAACCGUUGAGUGCUGGAGUGCGCCUGCCAUCCUUGUAGUGAACGGCACUACCCUUCACUGGGCCGGUGUCGCCAGCUGCAUCUUUUACUUUGAAAAAAUUAGAGUGUUUAAAGCAGGCUUGCGCUAUGAAUACAUUAGCAUGGAAUAAUAAUUUAGGACUUUGUUCCUAUUUUGUUGGUUUCUAGGAAUGAAGUAAUGAUUGAUAGGGAUAGUUGGGGGUGCUAGUAUUCAGCGGCCAGAGGUGAAAUUCUUGGAUUCGCUGAAGACUAACUUAUGCGAAAGCAUU
rnacentral:rRNA from 1 species